AACGAACGCUGGCGGCAGGCUUAACACAUGCAAGUCGAACGGGUGUAGCAAUACAUCAGUGGCAGACGGGUGAGUAACACGUGGGAACCUUCCUAGGGGUACGGAACAACUCAGGGAAACUUGAGCUAAUACCGUAUACGUCCGUAAGGAGAAAGAUUCACCGCCCCUAGACGGGCCCGGCCGUCGGAGUUAGGUUAGGUUGGUUGGGGGUAAC
rnacentral:rRNA from 1 species